GCGACUUAGGUCAGUGGUCGAGUUGUCACCCCCCAAGCGACAGGUUGUAAGUUCGAAUCCCAUAUGGCA